UUAAUCCAUUAUUAGUGUACAGCUGUCACCAUCUCGUCAUUCCAUCUCUGAACAUUCUUGCGUUGUCUCACACGUGAGCUUUUGGGGGAUGCCCAUCUGACAUCCUAAUUUAACUGAUCUGGGGUGGGGCCAGGGAUCAUUUCCUGAAAACCUCCUGAUCUGUGGUCAGCAUGCAGGUGGGGCCGGGUCCUGGUGUGCGGAACGUGUACAGAGGAUCCAGUGAUGAUUCUGGGACUCACCCAGGUCACCUAAGGAGAGUGAGGAGCCACAGUCAACCCCUGUUUGUUUCUGUUUCCUUCUUUGUUUGGCAGGACUAGCGCCAUGUCCCUGCUGCCUAGGAGACUCUCCCUUCACGCUCAUUCUGGCCGACGUGGGGACUUGGUGGGGCCUUGGUGUUCUGCUGGCUGCUGGGGUCAGAAUCGCGAGAAGAUCUCGUCCAUCUGGAGCUGUCUAGGGCUCGUAGACUGCACCUUGGCCACAUUUCCAGCACUCCCUGGUGUAACCACUUGUAGCUUGCUCAGCCAGGCUACAGAAUGCCCCAAUUCUCCACCGUUGCCUGAAGAUCUCUUGAACGCCACUGAUUCAGAAGGAGGAACCAGAGGCCCAUUCUCUGAGGACCAACGGCUGGCUGUGGGGACCUUGUUCAAAGGCAAAAAUCUCGUUAAGGGUGAAAAGGGGAAUAUCUGCUAUAGUUGAAUGCUCACUGUGUGCUAGAUAUUGUGCAAAGCACUUUCCUCUCUAUAAUGGAAAAUAUGAAGGUACGGAGCCAAGGAGAGAAAAGAGAGCCACUUCACCUACAAUGUGGAGAUUAAUUUCUGCCCAAGUACAGUUCAAAAAUGUAAGGAAGGAGAGAAGGGUCACAGAUGAGCAUGAAAGUGAAGAAACAGCAACUUCAGGAACUACUCUGCUGAAGGUGGAGGUGGGGUGGAGGGACGACUAUAGUGACUCACAGGAAGUUCCUUGGGCCUGACAGUAGGGGACUUGUUUCUAGGACGGACUUGAUGGAGGAUGUCAAACAGUUUAGAACGUCCCUCCGUCCCUACGGCAUGCAGAACGCUGAUUUCACCGACAGAGUAGGGGGUGGAGAAGAGCGAGAAGAGAGUUAGAGAACGGUGCUAUCACAGAACUGUUCUGUGCUUGCCAAGGUGCCCACCCACUGAGCCCCUCGUUCAUUCAGCAAACACCGACUGAGACGUCUGCACCAGGCACUGUGGCUGGCACCGCGUCCAGGUGGAUUUUACAGCCAGCAUUCUGCAGGGACUAAGGGAGGAGACAGCCACUGUGGACCCUGAUUGAUCAGACCAGCUCUGUCUGGAUGAGCCACAAAAGCCCUUAGGAGCUACUUGGACGAUGGAUGCUGGUCCUUAUCUGCAAAGAGCUGUCAGUCACAAGGUACCCCAGGGCCGACGGUAUCUCACAAGGGCCCUUCUACCAUCUCAGGGCAAUCAGGUCAAGGAAGCUCCAGAGAAACAUUUAAAAACAAGAAACAGACUGGGACACGCUGACGGCCCUUCCCCUGACACGUGUUCAGAAACUGCCUGAGCUGCCCGUGCUUCAGAUGGUAGUAACAGGACAGGGGCUUUUACUGUUUCCUGACGUAUUCGGGGUGUCCGUAUUGCCUUGUGUUAUUGUUGAGAUAGGAGGUGCCCCCCAGACUCUGUGUGAGACGCUGCAAGAACAUUCAGAGGUAAGAUGAUUGGCUCAUGGGAGCUGUGCCCUAAUCCGUGGAUGGAUCCACAUGAAGGGAUGAAUGGCGGUCAUGACUGUAGGCAGGUGGGGUGUCAUGGUUUGAAUGUGAGGUGUCCCCCAAAAGCUCACCUGUGACACCUGCAGGAGGGUUCAGAGGAGCAAUGAUGGUCGUGAGAGUCUUCACCCUAUCAGUGGUUUGGUCCCCGAGCGGGGUCAACUGAGGGGUGACUGGAGGGGUGGGCACUGGGGUGUGGCUGGGGGGUAUAUAUUUGUAUCUGGAGAGUGGAGUCAGUCUCUCUCUGCUUCCUGAUCACCUUGAAGUGAGCUGCCUCCCUCUGCCACACACUCCGCCAUGAUGCCCAGCCGCGUCUGGAGCCCCGAGGAAUGGAGCCGGCCUUCUGUGGAACAAGAUCUCUGAACUGUGAGCCCUCAGAUAGACCCUUCCCCCUCUAUAACUGUGCUGGUCCGGCCCUUAGUCACAGCACUGGAAAAGCGACUAAAACAGGUGUGGACAGCGGAAGUGGGCACUGGAUCUGUAUUUUGUCCUUGGCGAGUGGCGAUGCCCCGUCCUAGGCACACCCACACCUGGUUGCACAUCCACACCCCUCUGCCACGACGCUCUGCCUCACCCUGGCCCAGAGCGAUGGAGUCCGCCUCCAUGGAGUGAGACCUCUGAAACCAUGAACCCAGAUACACUGUUCCUCCUCCGGGUUGUCCUUGUCAGGUCUUUUGGUCUCAGAGGUGCAGGAGCUGACGGAAACACCUCAGAGCUGAGGGUAUUAGAGUCUGGUAUGUCUGGUAAGUUGUGAUUUGGGGGUCUACAGACCCCAAACUCAAAAGAGCUAGGUUCAAGAAAGUAGAACAGCGACUUUAAUAAAUUAAAGAAUCCCACAGAACAGGUUGCUGACAUCAGGGAUCUGAAGUACCCAGAGGGCAAGUAGCUGUGCCGCCCUGUCGGGGGUGACUCGCAUUCCCUGAAUGCGCGCUGCGCGCCAGCUCCUGUUCCUGGCACCGUGAGUGCAGGCAUGUCCUGACCUUCGAGGUCGAGCGAGGGAGACAGUCUUUUAACAAAUGAUUUCAUUAAUAAAUGUAGGUACAAGGAAAAGUUCAGGGUGCACUGGGAUGGCAGAGAGGGCAGCGAGUCUAGGCCAGAGGUUUCAGGAAGUGACAUUUAAGGUGAAGUUCGCAAAAUGAAUAAGAUCUAGGUGGGUGGGGAGACAGGAGGAGCAUUCCCGUGGAGGAAACAGGACGCAUAAGACCCUGUGGGCCAUGCUGUGGAUUUUGGACUUUCUUUAAGAAUAAGAAGAGGGAGGCAUGAAAGAUCUUUUUAAAACUGGUGAAUUAAACAGAGGAGGCGCGAGUCAACAGGGAUCCUAGGAGAUGAGGAACCGUCUCUGGACAGGGGAGGGGCCAUGGGGAGAAGUGAGCAUGUUCAGGGUACAUUUAGAAAGGAAGAUCUAGGAACUGGGGAGAAAGCGCAUGUGAGGGAGCGAGGGAGAAGGAGUGUGAAAGGUGACUGCCAGGUUUACUGAGAGAUGACAGCGGAAGUCGCGGUACCACUUCCUGCAGAUGAAGACACAUGGUAUUGGGGGUUGGCUUCCGAAGAGGAGGCCAAAAGUCCAGUUUUUGUCAAAGAGACACCCAGCUGCAGAUAUUAGGAAACCAGUUUUAUCUAAAACACAGAGAAAUUAAGCCCAAAAUAUCCCAACAGGGAAGUGCUAGGGAAUGAUAUUGGCCAAAUGAUAUCGUUAUACCAUGUGCAUGUACAAACAUGUAACAACGGACCCCAUGAUUGUGUACGGCUAUAACGCACCCAAAAACACGUGCAAAGAGGAAAAAAAUGGCCUGAAUGGAAUGCCACCAAUAUGGACUCAUCAAAAUACAGACUUUACCACCACGGA